rnacentral:rRNA from 1 species
GACGAACGCUGGCGGUAUGCUUAACACAUGCAAGUCGAACGAGACGAAGAUGAAGUGCUUGCACGGAUUCUUUAGAAAGUGGCGAACGGGUGAGUAACGCGUGGGUAACCUGCCCUAUGGAAAGGAAUAGCCUCGGGAAACUGGGAGUAAUGCCUUAUAAGAUACAUUUGUCGCAUGGCAGAAGUAUUAAACGCUCCGGUGCCAUAGGAUGGACCCGCGUCCCAUUAGCUAGUUGGUGAGAUAACAGCCCACCAAGGCGACGAUGGGUAACCGGUCUGAGAGGGCGAACGGUCACCCUGGAACUGAGACACGGUCCAGACUCCUACGGGAGGCAGCAGUGGGGAAUAUUGCGCAAUGGGGGAAACCCUGACGCAGCAAUACCGCGUGAGUGAAGAAGGUUUUCGGAUCGUAAAGCUCAGUUAUUGGGGAAGAAAAAAGACGGUACCCAAGAAGAAAGUCCCGGCUAACUACGUGCCAGCAGCCGCCGUAA